UACGUAGGGACCAAGCGUUGUCCGGAAUCAUUGGGCGUAAAGAGCGUGUAGGCGGCUUGUUAAGUCUUGCGUGAAAUCUCGGGGCUCAACCCCGAGCGGUCGUGAGAAACUGGCAGGCUAGAGUGCGGGAGAGGAGAGUGGAAUUCCUGGUGUAGCGGUGAAAUGCGCAGAUAUCUGGAGGAACACCGGUGGCGAAGGCGGUUCUCUGGGCCUGUACUGACGCUGAGGAGCGAAAGCGUGGGGAGCGAACAGG
rnacentral:rRNA from 1 species